GUCCGGAGAGAAAUUACAGAUCCGCAGCCCCGGGAUGGGGCCGGCCCCGCUGCCGCUGCUGCUGGGCCUCUUCCUCCCCGCGCUCUGGCGUAGAGACCCAGAUCUUGUGAAGUGUUUUCACAUUUCCCCAUGGAUGCCUAGCGAGGGACUGGGACUGCCUGAUCCGCUUUGGUCAAGAGCACGUGGGUGGCCUGUGUGCAGCCUUAUCAUCAAUAAUUGCAGGACUUGGUGGAGUAUGGUUGAACAGGUGCUCAGACUGCGUGCGUGUCUAGCGAGGCCAUCCUGAAGCUGCAUGGGAGUUGUAAAAAAGUUACCAACAAGGUUUUAGUUAUUUGAAUAGGUUUUUGAAUAGAUUUGGAAUGUGGGAAGCAGUUGCAGAA
rnacentral:lncRNA from 1 species